rnacentral:rRNA from 1 species
UACGGAGGGUGCGAGCGUUGUCCGGAACCACUGGGCGUAAAGGGCGCGUAGGCGGCCACCGCAAGUCGACUGUGAAAUCUCCGGGCUUAACCCGGAAAGGUCAGCCGAUACUGCGGGGCUAGAGUGCAGAAGGGGCAACUGGAAUUCUCGGUGUAGCGGUGAAAUGCGUAGAUAUCGAGAGGAACACCUGCGGCGAAGGCGGGUUGCUGGGCUGACACUGACGCUGAGGCGCGAAAGCUAGGGGAGCGAACGGG